AUGAACGCUAGCUACAGGCUUAACACAUGCAAGUCGAGGGGCAGCAUGGUCUUAGCUUGCUAAGGCCGAUGGCGACCGGCGCACGGGUGAGUAACACGUAUCCAACCUGCCGUCUACUCUUGGACAGCCUUCUGAAAGGAAGAUUAAUACAAGAUGGCAUCAUGAGUCCGCAUGUUCACAUGAUUAAAGGUAUUCCGGUAGACGAUGGGGAUGCGUUCCAUUAGAUAGUAGGCGGGGUAACGGCCCACCUAGUCUUCGAUGGAUAGGGGUUCUGAGAGGAAGGUCCCCCACAUUGGAACUGAGACACGGUCCAAACUCCUACGGGAGGCAGCAGUGAGGAAUAUUGGUCAAUGGGCGAGAGCCUGAACCAGCCAAGUAGCGUGAAGGAUGACUGCCCUAUGGGUUGUAAACUUCUUUUAUAAAGGAAUAAAGUCGGGUAUGCAUACCCGUUUGCAUGUACUUUAUGAAUAAGGAUCGGCUAACUCCGUGCCAGCAGCCGCGGUAAUACGGAGGAUCCGAGCGUUAUCCGGAUUUAUUGGGUUUAAAGGGAGCGUAGAUGGAUGUUUAAGUCAGUUGUGAAAGUUUGCGGCUCAACCGUAAAAUUGCAGUUGAUACUGGAUAUCUUGAGUGCAGUUGAGGCAGGCGGAAUUCGUGGUGUAGCGGUGAAAUGCUUAGAUAUCACGAAGAACUCCGAUUGCGAAGGCAGCCUGCUAAGCUGCAACUGACAUUGAGGCUCGAAAGUGUGGGUAUCAAACAGGAUUAGAUACCCUGGUAGUCCACACGGUAAACGAUGAAUACUCGCUGUUUGCGAUAUACAGCAAGCGGCCAAGCGAAAGCGUUAAGUAUUCCACCUGGGGAGUACGCCGGCAACGGUGAAACUCAAAGGAAUUGACGGGGGCCCGCACAAGCGGAGGAACAUGUGGUUUAAUUCGAUGAUACGCGAGGAACCUUACCCGGGCUUAAAUUGCAGAUGAAUUACGGUGAAAGCCGUAAGCCGCAAGGCAUCUGUGAAGGUGCUGCAUGGUUGUCGUCAGCUCGUGCCGUGAGGUGUCGGCUUAAGUGCCAUAACGAGCGCAACCCUUGUUGUCAGUUACUAACAGGUUCCGCUGAGGACUCUGACAAGACUGCCAUCGUAAGAUGUGAGGAAGGUGGGGAUGACGUCAAAUCAGCACGGCCCUUACGUCCGGGGCUACACACGUGUUACAAUGGGGGGGUACAGAGGGCCGCUACCACGCGAGUGGAUGCCAAUCCCAAAAACCUCUCUCAGUUCGGACUGGAGUCUGCAACCCGACUCCACGAAGCUGGAUUCGCUAGUAAUCGCGCAUCAGCCACGGCGCGGUGAAUACGUUCCCGGGCCUUGUACACACCGCCCGUCAAGCCAUGGGAGCCGGGGGUACCUGAAGUGCGUAACCGCGAGGAGCGCCCUAGGGUAAAACUGGUGACUGGGGCU
rnacentral:rRNA from 1 species